rnacentral:rRNA from 1 species
GCACCAGAUGAAACUAGAUACAAGCGAGCGGCGGACGGGUGAGUAACACGUGGGUAACCUGCCCAAGAGACUGGGAUAACACCUGGAAACAGAUGCUAAUACCGGAUAACAACACUAGACGCAUGUCUAGAGUUUAAAAGAUGGUUCUGCUAUCACUCUUGGAUGGACCUGCGGUGCAUUAGCUAGUUGGUAAGGUAACGGCUUACCAAGGCAAUGAUGCAUAGCCGAGUUGAGAGACUGAUCGGCCACAUUGGGACUGAGACACGGCCCAAACUCCUACGGGAGGCAGCAGUAGGGAAUCUUCCACAAUGGACGCAAGUCUGAUGGAGCAACGCCGCGUGAGUGAAGAAGGGUUUCGGCUCGUAAAGCUCUGUUGGUAGUGAAGAAAGAUAGAGGUAGUAACUGGCCUUUAUUUGACGGUAAUUACUUAGAAAGUCACGGCUAACUACGUGCCAGCAGCCGCGGUAAUACGUAGGUGGCAAGCGUUGUCCGGAUUUAUUGGGCGUAAAGCGAGUGCAGGCGGUUCAAUAAGUCUGAUGUGAAAGCCUUCGGCUCAACCGGAGAAUUGCAUCAGAAACUGUUGAACUUGAGUGCAGAAGA